ACACAUGCAAGUCGAACGGAACUUCGGGUUUAGCGGCGGACGGGUGAGUAACGCGUGAGAAUCUGCCUCUAGGUCGGGGACAACAACUGGAAACGGUUGCUAAUACCCGAUGUGCAGCAAUGUGAAAGAUUUAUUGCCUAGAGAUGAGCUCGCGUCUGAUUAGCUAGUAGGUGUGGUAAUGGCGCACCUAGGCGACGAUCAGUAACUGGUCUGAGAGGAUGACCAGUCACACUGGGACUGAGACACGGCCCAGACUCCUACGGGAGGCAGCAGUGGGGAAUUUUCCGCAAUGGGCGAAAGCCUGACGGAGCAAUACCGCGUGAGGGACGAAGGCUUUUGGGUCGUAAACCUCUUUUCCCUGAGAAGAAGAUCUGACGGUAUCAGGGGAAUCAGCAUCGGCUAACUUCGUGCCAGCAGCCGCGGUAAUACGAGGGAUGCAAGCGUUAUCCGGAAUUAUUGGGCGUAAAGCGUCCGCAGGUGGCUCUGUAAGUCUGUCGUUAAAGAAUGGGGCUCAAUCCCAUACAGGCGAUGGAUACUACAAGGCUAGA
rnacentral:rRNA from 1 species